UACGGGGGGAGCAAGCGUUGUUCGGAUUUACUGGGCGUAAAGGGCGCGUAGGCGGCCAGCACAAGUCAGUUGUGAAAUCUCCGAGCUUAACUCGGGAAGGUCAACUGAUACUGUGCGGCUAGAGUGCGGAAGAGGCAACUGGAAUUCUUGGUGUAGCGGUGAAAUGCGUAGAUAUCAAGAGGAACACCUGCGGCGAAGGCGGGUUGCUGGGCCGACACUGACGCUGAUGCGCGAAAGCCAGGGGAGCGAACGGG
rnacentral:rRNA from 1 species